rnacentral:rRNA from 1 species
CCUACGGGGCGCACCAGUAGGGAAUCUUCGGCAAUGGACGAAAGUCUGACCGAGCAACGCCGCGUGAGUGAAGAAGGUUUUCGGAUCGUAAAACUCUGUUGGUAGAGAAGAACGUUGGUGAGAGUGGAAAGCUCGUCAAGUGACGGUAACUACCCAGAAAGGGACGGCUAACUACGUGCCAGCAGCCGCGGUAAUACGUAGGUCCCGAGCGUUGUCCGGAUUUAUUGGGCGUAAAGCGAGCGCAGGUGGUUUAUUAAGUCUGGUGUAAAAGGCAGUGGCUCAACCAUUGUAUGCAUUGGAAACUGGUAGACUUGAGUGCAGGAGAGGAGAGUGGAAUUCCAUGUGUAGCGGUGAGAUGCGUAGAUAUAUGGAGGAACACCGGUGGCGAAAGCGGCUCUCUGGCCUGUAACUGACACUGAGGCUCGAAAGCGUGGGGAGCAAACAGGAUUAGAUACCCCGGUAGUC